GUCAAGAUGGCCGAGUGGUCUAAGGUGGCAGAUUCAAAGUCUCUUCCUCGUUAAAGAGGGCGUGGAUUCAAAUCCCACUCCUGACA